rnacentral:miRNA from 1 species
AAUAUACAGGGGGAGACUCUUAU